AGCUGUCGCAGGGUUGCGAUGGACUUUAACAGGAAACAUGAACUUAUUAACACACUCAAAAAGACAGGAAGUCCGCUUCUCGGACCGACCGAGAAGCGGACGUCCACUGACGAAGACCUAGCCCACGUACAUAGUAUGCUACAAACAUAGUAUGCUACGGCUGGAGACGUUUGAGACAUCCUGUAGAUUAAAUCAUGCUUUUAUCUCAUCAUUAGUACACAGUUUACACCACAAAUCAUAUCCCAUUUCGAAAAUCCUACAAAUAUAUUUGAAAUAAAUUGUUGUACCUUUUUAUUUUGCUUCGUUAAUUCACAGCCUGUUUUCCCUCGACACCACCGAACACAUUUAUAUCCAUAAAACAGACCCCGAUGUUCAUUAAGUGCGGAAUAAUACGCACGGGGGCAUUCUGUUACAGGAAACAAAUCAAUGAUGGGGUGGUGUGAUACAUCCGCAUGCAAAGAGGAGUUACUGCACUUUUACCAACUAAAGUUGAUUAUUUUCCAACAUCAGCACAUCCUGAUGUGAUUUUACUUACAGUACUUAUUUAAAAAAAAAAUUAAAAGUUGGUACUGUAGACAUGAUAAUGUAUUACAAUGUUUAGAAUUGUGUAAAUAAUCAGGAUCUGCUUAGAGACGUGCAGUUUGCCGGCUGUAAUUCAGAAACAUUGAACUCGGUCUAGAAGGAGAUGAUCCACGUUUUCUAUGAUCACACACACAAAAAAAAACAACUGAAAGCAGAGUACAAAUAAGGUGUGUUUAUUUUAAAAAAUGAACACUUUCAAUUUAUCCCACACAUGACCCCAUCGACAACUGAAAUCAUGAAAAGGCAGUACUACAAAAACAUGUUGAAUAAAAAAAAUAACAAUAAAAGAACUCAGGUUCAUAUUACAAGCACUUCUUACUUAAUAUAUGUACAAGCACUAUUGAUAUUGUAUAGGCAAGUGGCUGAGGAUUGCUAAAACAAACUAAGACGUGCAAAAAAAAGGAAAAGAAAAAGAAAAAUCCACAAGCUCGGCUUCUAUAGUGAAGUGCUAAUCUACUGCCUCGCUGUGCCUCGGGGUUUAGCGCGAGCCGAAGAUCAGAACGCGCCAACACUUGUGGAAUUCAAGAACAAUAUUCUCUCGAUAUCAGGUCGAGACACCCAGGGCCUUAUUUACUAAAAACACUCGAGCAGUUUCCAUGAUCGGCGACUGAGAUACGCCGCUCUCGAUCACUUUGUCCUGCUUAAUGACUUGAGUAAAUCAGGCUCUUGGGCUGAAGUGGAACGAACAAAAGCACAAUUAACUCUGCGGAUGAUUCGCUUGCAGAACGUCUGCUCGCAAAUCUACUGUUCGUGUGAUACAGACGACAAAACGUUCACGUCACACCAAACACAGAUACGAUGACUGGUCCAGGGCCAGAUACAGCCAGGCAUCAUUACAGACUGAACAACACAGAGAGAGAGAGAGAGAGAGAGAGAGAGAGAAAGAGAGAGAGAACAUAUAUGGUCCACAAUCAGAGCACGAGACGGCGACUUGGGAGAUGAUCUCACCGUGACUGAGGAGUCACUGGAAAUGAAACGGAAUGAAAUGCAUCUCUUGAAAUGCUGCUGCGCUGAAACUGGUAACAUUGGAUAAAAGUGAUCAUACUUGACAAUUACAUCGCAAACACGGAUAGAAAAUGUAACAGCUGACACUUUUUCUUUUUCUUUUUUUUUGGCAGCAGCAUUUCACAACCGCGGUGUUCCCUUUGCACAGAAAUAUUCCAUGUAUACUGUAUUUUCAUUUUUUUUUCUUAAAAAACGGGAUGUGUGCAUCUGGAAGUUCUUAUUCAACAUGUUCACCGUUAAAGGAUUUUUUGCACAAAGGAUCUCUGCGUACGAUACGUGAAAACACUCGACAUGAAUUACAAUCGCGUCUGAGACAAGAACACACUCGCGUGCACCACCUGGGCUGACGUCUUUAACGUCUAAUCCAGCCAAAAGGGAUGACAGCAGCCAGAAUUAUUAAUGAUCUGAUCUGAUCCGUGACCCUAAAGCGAAGGAGUAUUGAAUAAAACACUGAAUACAGAGCCACGGCUGUAUCAUUCUGAUCCAAAGUCAUUUACACGACUCAAUAUGUGGCCUGUUUGGGUUUUGUUUUGGAUCUGGCCCAUAAUCAUUUGGUACAUUUCCUAUCAUACGUAUACAGGCUAAUACUUGCCAUGUUAUCAGCAGAAGGUGGUCACUAGUGUUGUGUAAUGAAUCAUCGCUGACUCUAUAUUAAGGUUCUAGUAACGAACUUUAUUUACAGCAUCGGUUAACAUUAAAGGCUUGUUAUAUUUGGGGAGGUUCUCCUCGCCACUUGAAUAAAAUCGUGUCCGUCAGCGCUCCAGUCCAGACUCUUUAAACGGACCUGAAGCACCAACAAAACCAAUCUCCUGAUCAAUCACGCCUGUUCAAACUUCUGCUCAAAAUCAUCAACUAUACCUUUAGAGUGUAGGAUUUAUACAUAUACAUACAUACGCACACACCUCUCAUGUCUGUUUGAAAGGCAGUCUGGGAUUCAAUUAAAUGACAAACUGAUAAUCAGCUGAACUCGGAUCACUAGCUGUAAAUAUUGACCCCCACCGUCCAGCCUCGCUUCAGUUUCGACAGAUGACCGGCUAUUAAAAAGGGGUUCGCUCACGGUCAUCAUAAAUCACGGUUAAUUAAACAAACAUCAAUUAAUAUACGCCUAUUGUGUUAAAUUCUUACAUAUAAAUAAAAUCAAAAGCAUGACGAUGUGAAGCCCUGGAGCUGAUCAUUCCUCUAAUACCGAGGCAAUUUACCAACCGUCAGAAUUUUAUUGAAAUUAAAGAAUGGUGUACUUUUAAUCCAUUUAUAGGUCAAAUGUACUAUUGUGGAACAUCCGUGAUAACU
ensembl:lncRNA